GUGCUCCCUUUGGCAACACAUAUACUAAAAUUGGAACGAUACAGAGAAGAUUAUCAUGGCCCCUGCACAAAAAUGACACACAAAUUUGUAAAGCAUUCCAUAUUUUU